GACGAACCGUGCGAACGUUGUUCGGAAUCGCUGGGCUUAAAGGGCGCGUAGGCGGGCUGACAAGUCUGGGGUGAAAUGCCGCGGCUCAACCGUGGAACUGCCUUAGAUACUGUCGGCCUCGAGAAAGGUAGGGGCAUGCGGAACUGUAGGUGGAGCGGUGAAAUGCGUUGAUAUCUACAGGAACUCCGGUGGCGAAAGCGGCGUGCUGGACCUUUUCUGACGCUGAGGCGCGAAAGCUAGGGGAGCAAACGGG
rnacentral:rRNA from 1 species